rnacentral:lncRNA from 1 species
UUGAAAAUAUAGGAGUCAGCGUAAGCAACAAUAUCUGAGUACAGACAUGAGUUAAACAAGUUUGCCUUAAGAAGGCUAGCACAAAAGCAACAUCGAUCGAAAAGGCAAGGCCUCCUGCCUGGGAGCCUCCUAACUACUCCAGGUCGUUAGUGGUCGUCACGUAGUAGUAGGCACCCUCGGGGUAGUAGUAAUCAUCAGUGGUGUCGUCUGGCUCCUAGGAUCUGUCAUCUGGUCGCAAUAAUCGGGAUGGGAGAAAAAGAGGUAGCAAAGCAACCGUGAGUACUCAUCCAAAGUACUCGCAAGACUUACAUCAGAUCUAAACUAAGUAUGCAUCUGUAUCAAAUGAAAUGUGUUGUAUCUGUGGACUAAACUGCAGAAUGCCAGAAGAGAAGGGGGAAAAGCCUAGCCUAUCCAAGACUAGCAUCUUCUAGAACCCACCAUCUUGCAGCAACAGGAGGGAGUAGAGUAGCAUAAAGUAAAGUAGCAGUAGGGUUAUUAACCUCGUCCAGAGAUCCUUUCUCGAAUCCCCGCGAGAAAGCAAUCCCAGAGCCAUACUAUCCAGUUAUCAUCACAAUCCAAUUCUCAUCACCAUCCAGUUCUCAUCACAAGGAUCCAGUUCUAGUUUUAUCGAUCAGGAUACAACUCCAAGUGUCCGUUACUGUUGGACAUGCUAUCGAUAGAUGUUUUCUUCCCUGCAGGGGUGCACCAACUUACCCACCAUGCUCGAUUAGCUCCGGCCGGACACACUUUCCUGGGUCAUGCCCGGCCUCGGCCAAACAAUAUGCCGCAACCCGACCUAGGCUUAAUAGAGAGGUCAGCACGCCGGACGAAAUCUAUGCCCCCAGGGGUCAUGGGCCAUCUCCCCGGGAACUCCUGCACGUUGCGUGGGCGGCCGAUGAGCAGACCUAGCUACCUACUUCAACAAGGCAGGAGCUUACGCAGUCCAACCCGGCGCGCGCCGCUCAGUCGCUGACGUCUAUUAAGCUUCGGCUGAUGUAUACGACGUAGAACGCCCAUACAAUGCCCACAUGAUGGUUAGUGCUAUCAGGCCAGAGGCCCCUCGGAUCAAAUAUCCAAAUCGUAGUGGAUUAGGAGCACGCGGUAACGAGCAGAGACUCACGAUCGAUGUGACCCCAUCGCCCCGUCUCGAGUACUUGCGGCAAGGGCUAAGAAUGCCCGGCCACGCCUCGUAAGUAUCUCGCCGGCACCAUCCACGUCAACCCGACUCCACAUCACUCGCUAUUAAGCUCGCGUGGGUACCCCUCAGGGCCGACCCGUCUUUAGUAACAUGGCUCAGUGCAAAGUCAUAGUAACCAUAGUAACGGUGUGUCUAACACCAAGGGGAAAACCCGAGGAAUCACCCCCGGUGAAUUCCACUCGAUGUAACCAUCAAGGUGAACAUAAGAGGAUCCACCCUCGAGGUUCACGCUUGAGGGGUUGCACAACAGAGCCGUAUCGGAAGUGGUUAAGGAGGAAAUAACCCUCGAUGACCAUGACCGGAUAGCUACACUACAGAGGUCCCAUCAGGAGUGAUGUAAGAGGUUCCACCCUCGACACUCGAUGGUAACUCUACAAAGUCGUACAACUAAGGGGGGUGAUGUGCGGUGUCGGGGCCUGGACGUCGAUCACGUUGAUCGAGUCAUCGAACAUAAAGCGGGGCAACUGGGACAAGGUGGGGGUCACUGAUGGAUCACUAACCAACCUAUACUAAGCAGUUUAGGAUAAGCAGAUAAGGUAUGAAAGUAGGUAACAACAACAACAACAGGCUAUGCAUCAGAGUAGGAUCAUACAGAAAGCAGUAGCAGUUCUAAUGCAAGCAUGAGAGGGAAAGAAAUGGGCAAUAUUGGAAUGCUCAAGGGGGGUUUGCUUGCCUGGUUGCUCUGGCAAGAAGGAGGGUCGUCCACACCGUAGUUGAACUGGGGGUCGCCGACAGUCUCG